AACGAACGCUGGCGGCAUGCCUAACACAUGCAAGUCGAACGAGCCCUUCGGGUCUAGUGGCGCACGGGUGCGUAACGCGUGGGAACCUGCCCUUAGGUUCGGAAUAACUCCCCGAAAGGGGUGCUAAUACCGGAUAAUGUCUUCGGACCAAAGAUUUAUCGUCUUUGGAUGGGCCCGCGUUGGAUUAGCUAGUUGGUAGGGUAAAAGCCUACCAAGGCGACGAUCCAUAGCUGGUCUGAGAGGAUGAUCAGCCACACUGGGACUGAGACACGGCCCAGACUCCUACGGGAGGCAGCAGUGGGGAAUAUUGGACAAUGGGCGAAAGCCUGAUCCAGCAAUGCCGCGUGAGUGAUGAAGGCCUUAGGGUUGUAAAGCUCUUUUACCCGGGAUGAUAAUGACAGUACCGGGAGAAUAAGCUCCGGCUAACUCCGUG
rnacentral:rRNA from 1 species